rnacentral:rRNA from 1 species
UACGUACGAGGCGAGCGUUAUCCGGAAUUACUGGGCGUAAAGCGCGCGCAGGUGGUUUGUUAAGUUGGACGUGAAAUCUCCCGGCCUAACUGGGAGGGGUCGUCCAAAACUGGGAGACUUGAGGACUGCAGAGGUGGGUGGAAUUCCUGGUGUAGUGGUGAAAUGCGUAGAGAUCAGGAGGAACACCGGUGGCGAAGGCGGCCCACUGGGCAGUCACUGACGCUGAGGCGCGAAAGCUCGGGGAG